rnacentral:rRNA from 1 species
AACGAACGCUGGCGGCGCGUCUUAAGCAUGCAAGUCGGACGGCAAGGAAGGAGCUUGCUCCUUCCCUAGAGUGGCGGACUGGUGAGGAACGCGUGGGUGACGUACCCUCCGGACGGGGAUAGCCGGUAGAAAUACCGGGUAAUACCAGAUAAGAGCGCCUCCUUGGAGGGAGGCGGAGAAAGCGGCUUCGGCCGCGCCGGAGGAACGGCCCGCGUGCUAUUAGCUAGUUGGCGGGGUAACGGCCCACCAAGGCGACGAUAGCUAUCCGGCCUGAGAGGGUGAACGGACACAUUGGGACUGAGAUACGGCCCAGACUCCUACGGGAGGCAGCAGCUAAGAAUAUUCCGCAAUGGGGGAAACCCUGACGGAGCGACGCCGCGUGGAUGAUGAAGGCCGGAAGGUUGUAAAGUCCUUUUGGGCGCAAAGAAUAAGUACGCGAGGAAAUGCGCGUGCGGUGACGGUAGCGCCUGAAUAAGCAACGGCUAAUUACGUG